UCAGACUUCUUCUUCCUGUUCAGCGUCUGGGCCUGGAGCUGGGGUUUCUUCCUGCAGAGCUGACUGGAAAGGAGAGGAGGAUGGAAACGCCUGUGGUGGAGAAGCUCCUGGGAACAGGCCAGGCCCCCUCAGCUUCCGGGCCUGUGGUUUCAGUUCCAAGGAGCACCUGGAUGAAGCUCCAUUGCCGAGUUCUCUCAGUUUGGACCUUUUAUCAUAUAGAUGCCAAAAUUCUCAGAAGCUUGGAAGAUUUUUCUCCUCCAGCUAGCCCUGAAAACAUCUCUGUAAUUUGUCCCACAUGCACACUUGAGACGCCUGGAAGGUGUCUGCUAUUUUCUCGUUCCAAAUGCUUUGUUAACGGACUUCACAAAAUCACUGACCCAACACUACUUCUGGGAGGAAGGGACAUGAUUAAAAGCUCUUCACAGA